ACAUACAUACAUACAUACAUACAUACAUACAUACAUACAUACAAUACCAGAUAUAUAAACAAUUAUAUCUAUAUCACAACAAUGUAAUAAUUAUGUUGUGUUAGUAUAUAUUUAUGACAUCAUUAUUGUCAUAUCAUAGUGAUGUAUAUCAUAAUUCAUCAAUUAUAUAGAGACAUAUGGAGAUACUGCAGAAACAUGUUCCUUUAGCGGCCAAAUCUCUGAAAUCGGUGACAUCAGCAAGUAAACAUGCACAUAAACAGCCUUCAAAACAUAAACACACAGUGCCUACAAAGAAACUUUCUAAUCAGAACCGUAGUGGCUCAAAAAAAGCAUCCAGAAAUCCUUUAUCUAAACAGAAUUUGAGUGAGCUACCCAGAACUCUAGGGUCAGACCCA
rnacentral:lncRNA from 1 species